rnacentral:rRNA from 1 species
AGUGAACGCUGGCGGUAGGCCUAACACAUGCAAGUCGAACGGCAGCACAGUAAGAGCUUGCUCUUACGGGUGGCGAGUGGCGGACGGGUGAGGAAUACAUCGGAAUCUACUUUUUCGUGGGGGAUAACGUAGGGAAACUUACGCUAAUACCUCAUACGACCUACGGGUGAAAGCAGGGGAUCUUCGGACCUUGCGCGAUUGAAUGAGCCGAUGUCGGAUUAGCUAGUUGGCGGGGUAAAGGCCCACCAAGGCGACGAUCCGUAGCUGGUCUGAGGGGAUGAUCAGCCACACUGGAACUGAGACACGGUCCAGACUCCUACGGGAGGCAGCAGUGGGGAAUAUUGGACAAUGGGCGAAAGCCUGAUCCAGCCAUACCGCGUGGGUGAAGAAGGCCUUCGGGUUGUAAAGCCCUUUUGUUGGGAAAGAAAAGAAGCAGGUUAAUACCACGCUGUUCUGACGGUACCCAAAGAAUAAGCACCGGCUAACUUCGUG